AUUGAACGCUGGCGGCAGGCCUAACACAUGCAAGUCGAACGGUAACAGAAAGCAGCUUGCUGUUUCGCUGACGAGUGGCGGACGGGUGAGUAAUGUCUGGGAAACUGCCUGAUGGUGGGGGAUAACUACUGGAAACGGUAGCUAAUACCGCAUAACGUCGCAAGACCAAAGAGGCGGACCUUCGGGCCUCUGUCCAUCGGAUGUGCCCAGAUGGGAUUAGCUAGUAGGUGGGGUAACGGCUCACCUAGGCGACGAUCCCUAGCUGGUCUGAGAGGAUGACCAGCCACACUGGAACUGAGACACGGUCCAGACUCCUACGGGAGGCAGCAGUGGGGAAUAUUGCACAAUGGGCGCAAGCCUGAUGCAGCCAUGCCGCGUGUAUGAAGAAGGCCUUCGGGUUGUAAAGUACUUUCAGCGGGGAGGAAGGGAGUAAAGUCAAUACCUUUGCUCAUUGACGUUACCCGCAGAAGAAGCACCGGCUAACUCCGUGCCAGCCGCCGCCGUAA
rnacentral:rRNA from 1 species